UACGUAGGGGGCUAGCGUUGUCCGGAAUCAUUGGGCGUAAAGCGCGUGUAGGCGGCCCGGUAAGUCCGCUGUGAAAGUCGGGGGCUCAACCCUCGGAUGCCGGUGGAUACUGUCGGGCUCGAGUACGGAAGAGGCGAGUGGAAUUCCUGGUGUAGCGGGUGAAAUGCGCAGAUAUCAGGAGGAACACCAAUUGCGAAGGCAGCUCGCUGGGACGUAACUGACGCUGAGACGCGAAAGCGUGGGGAGCAAACAGG
rnacentral:rRNA from 1 species